CAUGCAAGUCGAGCGGUAAGGCCCUUCGGGGUACACGAGCGGCGAACGGGUGAGUAACACGUGGGUGAUCUGCCUUGCACUUCGGGAUAAGCCUGGGAAACUGGGUCUAAUACCGGAUAUGACCACUGAUCGCAUGGUCGGUGGUGGAAAGAUUUAUCGGUGCGAGAUGGGCCCGCGGCCUAUCAGCUUGUUGGUGAGGUAACGGCUCACCAAGGCGACGACGGGUAGCCGACCUGAGAGGGUGACCGGCCACACUGGGACUGAGACACGGCCCAGACUCCUACGGGAGGCAGCAGUGGGGAAUAUUGCACAAUGGGCGAAAGCCUGAUGCAGCGACGCCGCGUGCGGGAUGACGGCCUUCGGGUUGUAAACCGCUUUUGACAGGGACGAAGCGCAAGUGACUGUACCUGUAGAAUAAGGACCGGCCAACUACGUGCCAGCAGCCGCGGUAAUACGUAGGGUCCGAGCGUUGUCCGGAAUUACUGGGCGUAAAGAGCUUGUAGGCGGUUCGUCGCGUCGUUUGUGAAAACUUGGGGCUCAACCUUAAGCUUGCAGGCGAUACGGGCGGACUAGAGUACUUCAGGGGAGACUGGAAUUCCUGGUGUAGCGGUGAAAUGCGCAGAUAUCAGGAGGAACACCGGUGGCGAAGGCGGGUCUCUGGGAAG
rnacentral:rRNA from 1 species